GCACGCCCGGAGUGCCGCCGGCCCCUCCCACUAGCAGCGACUCUGGGACCCGCCGCCCCCAUUCGCCGCUCGGAGGGUGAGCUGCGGGUUCUCCGCCGGACCAGCGCCCCAAGGUCGCUGAGUCUCCACGUCGCGCGUGACGGAGGCAGCACCGCACUUAACAACGUACUCUCACAAACUCCAUCCCACCAGUACGUUACCUGAGCGGUGCCUGGGGAGUCCCAGCUCUCCCCUUAACUUCCAAGACCCGCGUGGAUAAUCCACUGAAGCGCUGCUCCACAACCACUUGCCAAACUGCUGGGUACCGUGCGCGGGGGCGCUAGGCUUAGACGAGCUGCGACUCGGGCCAGGCAGGCUGAAAGACUGGCCCCGGAGCCAGGAAACAUGCAGUCCGCCGGACUCCAUUUAGGCUGCGUCCCACCACAGUGUGUGACCUUGGGCAAAGUUACACCACCACUCUGGGCCUCGGGUUCCUUCUUCAUACAAUUAAAGGGCUGAGUAGGAAAGGUGA